UACGAAGGGGCUAGCGUUGCUCGGAAUCACUGGGCGUAAAGGGUGCGUAGGCGGGUCUUUAAGUCAGGGUGAAAUCCUGGAGCUCAACUCCAGAACUGCCUUUGAUACUGAAGAUCUUGAGUCCGGGAGAGGUGAGUGGAACUGCGAGUGUAGAGGUGAAAUUCGUAGAUAUUCGCAAGAACACCAGUGGCGAAGGCGGCUCACUGGCCCGGUACUGACGCUGAGGCACGAAAGCGUGGGAGC
rnacentral:rRNA from 1 species